AUUGAACGCUGGCGGAAUGCUUUACACAUGCAGGUCGAACGGCAGCACGGGGGCAACCCUGGUGGCGAGUGGCGAACGGGUGAGUAAUACAUCGGAACGUGCCCAGUCGUGGGGGAUAACGUAGCGAAAGUUACGCUAAUACCGCAUACGAUCUACGGAUGAAAGUGGGGGACCUUCGGGCCUCAAACCAUCGGAUGUGCCCAGAUGGGAUUAGCUAGUAGGUGGGGUAAUGGCUCACCUAGGCGACGAUCCCUAGCUGGUCUGAGAGGAUGACCAGCCACACUGGAACUGAGACACGGUCCAGACUCCUACGGGAGGCAGCAGUGGGGAAUUUUGGACAAUGGACGCAAGUCUGAUCCAGCCAUUCCGCGUGCAGGAUGAAGGCCCUCGGGUUGUAAACUGCUUUUGUACGGAACGAAAAGGUCUCUCUUAAUACGGGGGGCUCAUGACGGUACCGUAAGAAUAAGCACCGGCUAACUACGUGCCAGCAGCCGCAGUAA
rnacentral:rRNA from 1 species